CGCCGCCACGGUAAUACGUAGGGUGCAAGCGUUAAUCGGAAUUACUGGGCGUAAAGCGUGCGCAGGCGGUUUGUUAAGACAGAUGUGAAAUCCCCGGGCUCAACCUGGGAACUGCAUUUGUGACUGGCAAGCUAGAGUAUGGCAGAGGGGGGUGGAAUUCCGCGUGUAGCAGUGAAAUGCGUAGAUAUGCGGAGGAACACCGAUGGCGAAGGCAGCCCCCUGGGCCAAUACUGACGCUCAUGCACGAAAGCGUGGGGAGCAAACAGGAUUAGAUACCCCCGUAGUCCCUGUCUCUUAUACA
rnacentral:rRNA from 1 species